UCCGGGCGCCAGGCGGGAGCCCGGCUACUGGCUCCGCGCGUCUGCUCUCCGAGCUCUCGAGCUCCGCGCGCGGGAGCGCUCAGCUCACCCUCUCGCACGGAUUGUUUGGAUUUCCCUUUCUGGUUUCUCAAUCACUCCUUUCAUUUUGACUCCACGGCGGUCUCUUGCGUUCUCGCUUUUUUCCCCGCCUGUAUAACCCGGGUAAACCUUGGUACAGUUCCCACGGAGUGCAGGUUAGCGUGAACCACUUGGAACCACCAGCGCCCUGAACCCAUAGGUUCUGCAGGUUUUAGGACCUGGGAGAGGUCCGCUGACAUGCUUUCUGAGGACUAACAAAAAAGAACAACUUAAGGUGUAUUGUUUGGAAAUUUUGAAAAAUUUCCGUGAAAUGGUAAUGGAAGCAAAAGUUUUAUUUUUACUGUUAAAGUCCAACAAAAUUUUCAUGAAACCUCCUGCAAAUUGGCUUUCUAGGUAAACAUGCUUUGGGUGAGAGAUUAUUUUUAUAAUUUUAUCAUUUCGCCAGUUUUACUGUUCUCAAAAAAAAGUCUUGCAGUCUUAAAGAAGGAGGGACUUUUUCGUGGGGGUGCUUGAAAUGCUAGGUUUGUGACUUGAUGAAAGGCCUCAGUGUCUCGAUAGAUAACGUAUGUUCUCACUUUGAAACAGUUAUUUUCACGCUUAUACCUUGUGAAAAGAUUCACACAUAGAGGAGUUGGGAAAAAUGCUACGGUGGACACCUAUAUACUCACCUGGGUUCUAUAAUUAACAUUUUGCUGUAUUUGUUUUAUCGUGUGUAUCUGCAAAGCUGAUUAUUUUUAGAGACCUGCCGAGGGUCAGAUGAGUGGAUAUUGUAUAAAUCAUGUAUGGUGAAGGGUCCCAGAAGCUUGUUAUAUAUGGAAACUACAGACAGCACAUUUUGAGAGUCAGAUACAAAAAUAUCUAAGUUUUUUUGUUUUUCAGUAGUUUUCCCAAUUCACAGAGACGGGCAAAAAAAAUUCAUGUUAAGGCAACUUUGUCAUCUUUCUCCAAAACUUAUCAGAUAUAGAAAAGUGCACGUGAGUGUGAAGAAUUUUCGCAAACUGAACACACCUGUUGAACCAACAUUUACAUCAAGAAACAACCUGAACAGCUCUCCAGAAGCCCCACUUCAUUUCCCUUCCAGUCACUGCCUGGUCCUCAAGGGCCACCACUUGUUUGACUUGAGAAUUCAGCAUAGCGUUUCCCCCUUUUUUGUACUUUAAUUUGUAUCUUUUGUAAAGCAAGUUUGUGACUUGCUUGUUUGAGGUUGUCAUUUGUUCAUUCUCAUUUUAUUAUCAACUUUAAGCACAUUUACAAUCUACAAUAUUAAAAAAAAUUCUUUUAACUCAUAUGCUGAAUCUAGUAUUCUCCUCGCCUGUUUACUGAACAGAAGGCUCAGCUUGUCUGCCAGUGAGCAGAUGGUCUGGCUUCAGAUUACCUAUUAGGGAUAACUAAAGUUAUUGUGAAUUUCAUUUCAGAUUUUUUUAACCAAUGAUUUUCCUUUCUGUCUUAUUAAAACACAGAUGCCUGGGCCCCUCUGGGGGUUUGAUGCUUAAAGUAGGCAGAGGACAUAGGUAUUGAAGUAAAUAAUGAGAAUCCCACAACAAGAUGGCAGAUAGGUUUAAACUUGAAUUCAACUUCCAAAUAAUUAGCAGGAUUUCUGCAGUCUCUCCUGUGUUUAAGAGGAAGAGACAGCAAACAAGCUAGGUGUGUCCCCCUCCCAACUAUUUGAUUUUUCCAUAGAUGCCUUCUAUAGUCAUUGUUUUCUGAAUGCCUCAUUGAGAAUUAAGUGAAAUAACUGGUGUCAUAUACUUUUAAAUAUCUUCAUUCAUGGAACAUCUUAGUGGUUUGAAGUUGGAUUUGAUUGUAUUAAAUGACGAGGUAUAAAAUUUAGAGUGGAAUGUGGAAUAGCAGAGUGGAAAGAUGUGGUGUAGUCUUGAUCUGAGGUAUAUCCUUUGCUUUCCAUGUUGUUCAAACGCUCUGAGCCUCAGAGCGCUCUAAAAUGGAGACGUAGACCUCUCCUGUAGUUUUGACGACUGUUGUGAACAUUUCUUGUUUUACCCUUCACGUUGUUCUCUUAAGGUUUUAUUUUGCCUGUAGGGUGUUUCCCAUUGUAUACAUCCCUGGGAUGCCCUAUUGAAGCAUUCACCCCUUCCCUUUUGUAGUGUAGUCGGACCUAGACUUGUCCAACCUUUUGUUUUCUUCUUGGACUUUGGAUCUUGAGAGCAGAACCAGAGGCUUUGGAGAUUUUUGAGGACCUGUCAGUUGAUGCAUUGGAGAAGGAAAUGGCAACCCACUCCAGUGUUCUUGCCUGGAGAAUCCCAGGGACGGGGGAGCCUGGUGGGCUGCUGUUUGUGGGGUCGCACAGAGUCGGACACAACUGAAGCGACUUAGCAGCAGCAGUGGAGCAUGAGUGUGUGGGUAAGAUUGUUCUCUGAUUUGUUUUAGAUUCCUUCUUCCUAGCCCUGUGGUUCUUGUCUUUUCCAUCUUGAUUCCCCAGGCAUCUUUCAAUUUUGUAAGCUUUAAGAACCUUCCAGUAAAGUCCCUUUUUAAAGAUUGCCAGAGUCAGUUUUUGAUGUUUUGAAUGCUUGGCAGGUGAGAACCUUAAUGUGCUAAUUUAACUCUGUAUCUUGAAAAAUAAGUAGAUGCUUGAGCUGGAUAAUACACACUUAGGGUAAAAUAGUUAAGUUUAACUAAAAUGAUAGAACUGUCUUUUGUGUGACUUUUAUGUUAGCUCUAAAGAGUGAUCUAAAAGUGUUCCAUUUUUGGAGUUUCCCAAGAUUUCUACUUUGAAGUACAGUACUUAUUAUGAUGGAUAACUUAAAAAAAGAAAAAUUCUCCUUCCUGUACAUGCAGUAAUACACAUAUCUGCAUAUCAAAUCUGUUAAUGAGAAAUUCAUCCAAUACUGAGUAUUUAAAGAUGUGUUAAGAUUUUAGUAAUUUAAAGUAUAAUAAAGACUUCUAGGUUUUAGAAUUUUGUUAUUCCUUUAAUAAAAAUACUGUGCUGUUCA